UACGGAGGGGGCUAGCGUUGUUCGGAAUUACUGGGCGUAAAGCGCGCGUAGGCGGACCUGCAAGUCGGGGGUGAAAGCCCGAGGCUCAACCUCGGAACUGCCUUCGAUACUGCGGGUCUCGAGUCCGGGAGAGGUGAGUGGAAUUCCUAGUGUAGAGGUGAAAUUCGUAGAUAUUGGGAGGAACACCAGUGGCGAAGGCGGCUCACUGGACUGGUACUGACGCUGAUGCGCGAAAGCUAGGGGAGGCAAACGGGG
rnacentral:rRNA from 1 species